GGAUGGGGGACAGUGGAGGCGCCCGGCCCCGACCCCGCGCCAUCCCUGGCACCUCUUCUGCCCGGCCGUCCCAACUCUGCACCGGUCGCUGGGGUUGGAUAUGCAGCAAAACGGAGGAUCUGCAGCACGAGAUACUGAGGGUGGCUACUAGAACAUUCAGACUUGCUUGCGUUGUAUUUUUCCAUGGGCAGCUCUGGUCCAUGGGACUUGUCCUCAGCACGUUCUCCAUCUGGGGCCACCGAACCUCAGGAUUCCUUGCGAUGUGCUCGACUAAUCCAUGCCAGAAGUACAUUCAAGUGGUGUGACUGAUACUUGUGUCAAACCACGGCCGCUAAAGGAUGGUCUGAAAUCCUUGCUGCCACCAGGCGCAGAUGGAGAAGAUUUUUCAGCCACUCUGUAUAAUUUUUUGUUUGACAAUUAUAUAAGUACGUGCCUCUCCUGAGAAUGCUACAAAAUGAACAUUUACAAAGCCGAGAUAAAUACUCAGCAUAACUGGACAAGCCAGGCUGCCUCAAGGUCGAGAGUUCAAGUCCUGACUCCAUCCCUUCCCUGGCUGUGAUUCCUUUGGACUCAAAGACUGAACAGGAGUCAAAGCUCUUACCGUCCUUCCUGGCCUGUGCUAAACCCAGCGCAGGAAUGCCCUCGCUCCGAUCACCACUCGAUCACCACUCGGUGUGUGCGCCGGGCACCAGUGCUGUGCCCAUCUUAGGAGUGAAAAGAGUCACCUAGGAUGGUAGCCGAGACUCUGCUCUCUCAAUAUACAUCUUUACUGAAUGACGGAAUCAGAUGAAAGGGGUCAGCGUUCUCUGAGACUCAGUUUACCCUCUUCCCUAAAACCUGUGGCCCUCAGGGCCCCUCAACCAAAGGCGUCCAUCGUGAUACCCCUCCCCACCAAGGAUUUCGGACCCCAGACCUUGCUUCUCCAGUGGGGCGGAGGGAUGACCAAAGAAAAUGAGUUCAAGCCUCCGGUGGACUCCGCCCACUUGUGAUGUCACAAACCGCAGGGGGAUCCCGACCCUUGUCACUCCCUUGGGAUGGGGAGUGGAAAGGAACCGGGAGUCAACUCCGGCCCCUCCCCCGGGCCUGGCGGUGUUACACAACCAGACGUCGCAUCCCCAGGGAUGUCGCCGGACGUCCUGACGGGUCCGGGGACAAUGGGCGGGGAGUGCCCCUACCGCCAGGAGCCCGAAGUGGCAGGGGUGCUCCCUCCUCUGAUUCACCCUUGUUUCCGGACCCCUUUAUCCUCCAACUCCUCAGGGAUCCUUAACUCCCCCCAAAGUCUCUACCCUCAAUGCGAGUACCCCUGUAACUCAGCUUUUUGACCCCACCAAAUAUCUGUCCUCUGCAAUCCUCCUCCCCCGCCAGCUCCCGGCUCUCACUCCCGCCGCUGUGAUUCUCGAAACUUCCAGAUUCCCAUGCCCGCCUUCUUUCACCCAUCCCGGGGCUCCUCUUCCGGCUCCCUCAAACUCCUCCUCCACCUUCCUACCCCGCCCUCCAAAUCUCCUCCCUAGCCCCCCCCCCUCCGCCCGCGCCGAGCUUGCCCCAGGAUCUCAGUCUUCCCCAAACACUCCCUCCACCACGCUCAAACUGACCCCUAAUCCUCUUUCUUGUCCUUAGUAUCAGUCCCCAGUCCCCUUUUGCCGUCCCGAAACUGCCCGGAUAUCCCAACCUCAUUGCCCACCCUUUCCCCCAGUCUUUUCCCCCCAACCCUUUCCCUCCCGCCAGCCGCCCCUCCCCGCCCCCAGGCCGGCCGGCGUCCCUCCCCGGCCCGCUCCCACGCCCGGCGCGGGUUCCCAGGCCGCCCCCCCGCGGUGGCCCAGAGACCCAGUUUGCGGCGGCAAAACAUUGGUCUCCGGGCAACAGGCCCCGCCCGCCCCGGGGGCGGCCGAAGCUAGUCGGGCCGCUCCGGGGCGGGGUGGCCGGGAGGUGGCGGGGCCGGACUGAAGCCCGGGGCCCUCGGCCCCAGAGGCCUGCAGGUCUCAGAGACCCGGUGACCGAGAGCCAACGACACGGACCUGGAGAUUCGGCACCCCGGAGCAAGAAGCUCGGAGAAAUUCAUGGAGGCCAAACCCAUGGGAUGCGGAAACUGAGCCCCAGAGAGGUCACUCAGCUUGCCUCAGGACUCACAGCUCAGUCAGGCUCCAAAGAUGGUACUGUUGUCAAAUUCGCAACACCCUGAGCAUCCAGACCUAUCCUCUGACUCCUCCACGUGAGCCCCAGGACCGCAGGAGCAAGAUAGUCCUUGGCCCCACCCGCUGGCCUUGAGAAGGGUGACCCAGUAGGAGAAUACCGCCCAAGUGGUGCUCAAGUUGUCAGCGAGUCACCUAUGCUGGCCCGGGACACUGGCUUGGAGGCAGGCAGGACCCUCUACGUGCAGUGGGAAUCACUCUCAUCCCUGGCCACCUGUCUCCAUAGAAGCUCACCUAUCAGGUGGCAUCAGAAGCUGGCGCCCAGACGGUGGGUCGGAGGCUCUGGGUCAGCGGUUCUGGCCGGCUGAUCAGAACCACUCAGGCUGGAUCUCACCGGUUUUAACUGUCACCUCCUUCUCUGAGACUCUGACCCACAGCUUCUGGGUGCAGGACUGGAGAAAGCCACCUUUAAAAAGCUCCCUAGAUGACUGGGACCCCUGUUGGCCUGUGCUAGUUACUCUGCCUAAUUUUGCACCCAGGGAAGAGCAGAGGUUCAAAGACCAGAAGCUCCAACCCAACAUCACACAGCAGCCCGCUGUGAGAGGCCCUGUGCUGCCUAGAAUUGGUGGACUCCCGUUGAGAACAAGUUUCAGAGUUAAAUAAUAAAAUAAAAUAAAAUAAAAUAAAAUAAAAUAAAAUAAAGUAA